GGAGAGGCUGUUGAUUUUGGUGCUGGAAAGCAUCCUAAGGAGAGCAGUCCAGGGCUCAGAGGCUCUCCGCACUGAGGAAGGCUUUCCCUGCACCCAGAACCUGGAGCAAGAGACCAGUCAUCACAGAGGAAACACAACGAUGUUGUUGCCACUGUGCAAACAGCCCAUGCUGUUCACACAUGGUGCGUGGUUGUCCCAGAUUACAGCUUUAUUUGUAAUCCCUGGAACCAAGAACAUGGGCUGCAGAGUCUGCUGCCGAACACGAGUGGAAUCCUUGUCUCACCAGCUAGAAAAAGAAAAGCAAGCGCCUGGAAAUGAAGUUUGGUAGAGAUCCUUUACGUGGGACAUCUGCCCAGAAGAGACAAGAGACAUAAUAAGAAGCAAUUCAAACUGUAAUGCUCACCCCUAGAUCCUGGGGACAAAAAGGAUCACAGCUGUCGGGAACUUUACCGAGGUGCACGGAGAGGUGGUUGGCAGGCUGAGCAGGAAGGGGAAGACAACAUUUAUCCUGCUGGUGAACGGCUGAGCUUAAUCCUCUGUAUUUGUAACUUGGACCCCGUGGGCUCUCUCACAUUUGCUACUGAGGAGAUGACAGAAGCAACAAGGGGCGAUGGUCUUUUCACCCAGCGUCUCUCCGUGUGCGUGACUGUGGUGGAAAUAUCCGACAGAAGUAACUUAAGGAGGGUUGCUUCCAUUGCUGUAAGAAUGGAACUCUGACCAAAAGCAACUUAGGGGAUGGAAGGGUUCAUUUGGCUUACAUGCCCAUGUCACUGUCCACAUCACACUGCCAUGUCACAGUCCAUCACUGAGGGAAGUCAGGGCAGGAACUCAAGUAGGACCUUGAACCAGAAGCCAUGAAGGAACGCUUUUUGCAAGUUCACUCUCUGUCUCUUGCUUUGCUAACUUUGUCAUGCAGCCCAGGGCCACCUGCCCAGGCAAUGGGCCACCACAGUGGACAGGACCCUCCUGAUUAAUAAUUAAGACAACCCCCAAUGUGUACACGAACCAAUCUGAUUUAGGCAAUUCCUCAACCAAGGUUUCUCUCAGGUAACUUUCGUAUGGAUCAAGUUGUCAAUCAAGCGAAGAAGGCCUGGGAGGAAAGAUUUA